rnacentral:rRNA from 2 species
CAUCCUCCAAGGCUAAAUACUCCUGACUGACCGAUAGUGAACCAGUACCGUGAGGGAAAGGCGAAAAGAACCCCGGCGAGGGGAGUGAAAAAGAACCUGAAACCGUGUACGUACAAGCAGUGGGAGCACAGGUUUACCUGUGUGACUGCGUACCUUUUGUAUAAUGGGUCAGCGACUUAUAUUCUGUAGCAAGGUUAACCGAAUAGGGGAGCCGGAGGGAAACCGAGUCUUAAUUGGGCGUUAAGUUGCAGGGUAUAGACCCGAAACCCGGUGAUCUAGCCAUGGGCAGGUUGAAGGUUGGGUAACACUAACUGGAGGACCGAACCGACUAAUGUUGAAAAAUUAGCGGAUGACCUGUGGCUGGGGGUGAAAGGCCAAUCAAACCGGGAGAUAGCUGGUUCUCCCCGAAAGCUAUUUAGGUAGCGCCUCGUGAAUUCAUCUCCGGGGGUAGAGCACUGUUUCGGCUAGGGGGCCAUCCCGGCUUACCAACCCGAUGCAAACUGCGAAUACCGGAGAAUGUUAUCACGGGAGACACACGGCGGGUGCUAACGUCCGUCGUGAAGAGGGAAACAACCCAGACCGCCAGCUAAGGUCCCAAAGUCAUGGUUAAGUGGGAAACGAUGUGGGAAGGCCCAGACAGCCAGGAUGUUGGCUUAGAAGCAGCCAUCAUUUAAAGAAAGCGUAAUAGCUCACUGGUCGAGUCGGCCUGCGCGGAAGAUGUAACGGGGCUAAACCAUGCACCGAAGCUGCGGCAGCGACGCUGAUGCGUUGUUGGGUAGGGGAGCGUUCUGUAAGCCUGUGAAGGUGGCCUGUGAGGGUUGCUGGAGGUAUCAGAAGUGCGAAUGCUGACAUAAGUAACGAUAAAGCGGGUGAAAAGCCCGCUCGCCGGAAGACCAAGGGUUCCUGUCCAACGUUAAUCGGGGCAGG